UCCUGCUUUACUUAAAUAAUUAUCAAAAU
rnacentral:sRNA from 1 species